CAGUAGCCGCGGGAAUACGAAGGGUGCAAGCGUUACUCGGAAUUACUGGGCGUAAAGCGUGCGUAGGUGGUGGUUUAAGUCCGUUGUGAAAGCCCUGGGCUCAACCUGGGAACUGCAGUCGAAACUGCAAGACUUGAAUGUUGGAGAGGUUGGGGGAAUACCUAGUGGAGAAGUGAAAUUCGUAGAGAUUAGGUGGAACACCAGAGGCGAAGGCGCCUGACUGGCCAAACAUUGACGCUAAGGCGCGAAAGCGUGGGUAGCAAACAGGAUUAGAUACCCGCGUAGUCCCUGUCUCUUAUAC
rnacentral:rRNA from 1 species